rnacentral:rRNA from 1 species
GAUGAACGCUGGCGGCGUGCUUAACACAUGCAAGUCGAACGGGAUCCUUGGCAGCUUGCUGCCGGGGUGAGAGUGGCGAACGGGUGAGUAAUGCGUGACCGACCUGCCCCAUGCACCGGAAUAGCUCCUGGAAACGGGUGGUAAUGCCGGAUGUUCCACAUGAGCGCAUGCGAGUGUGGGAAAGGCUUUUUGCGGCAUGGGAUGGGGUCGCGUCCUAUCAGCUUGUUGGUGGGGUAACGGCCUACCAAGGCGAUGAUACGUAGCCGACCUGAGAGGGUGAUCGGCCACACUGGGACUGAGACACGGCCCAG